GGCCGCAUAGUGCAAUGACUAGCAUAUUCCAUAAAAUUUACUAGCUUUUAGGAGAGAUGUCGGUUCAAAUCCGACUGUGGCCC